rnacentral:rRNA from 1 species
GACGAACGCUGGCGGCGUGCCUAAUACAUGCAAGUUGAGCGCUGAAGGUUGGUACUUGUACCAACUGGAUGAGCAGCGAACGGGUGAGUAACGCGUGGGGAAUCUGCCUUUGAGCGGGGGACAACAUUUGGAAACGAAUGCUGAUACCGCAUAAAAACUUUAAACACAAGUUUUAAGUUUGAAAGAUGCAAUUGCAUCACUCAAAGAUGAUCCCGCGUUGUAUUAGCUAGUUGGUGAGGUAAAGGCUCACCAAGGCGAUGAUACAUAGCCGACCUGAGAGGGUGAUCGGCCACAUUGGGACUGAGACACGGCCCAAACUCCUACGGGAGGCAGCAGUAGGGAAUCUUCGGAAAUGGACGAAAGUCUGACCGAGCAACGCCGCGUGAGUGAAGAAGGUUGUCGGAUCGUAAAACUCUGUUGGUAGAGAAGAACGUUGGUGAGAGUGGAAAGCUCAUCAAGUGACGGUAACUACCCAGAAAGGGACGGCUAACUACGUG